rnacentral:rRNA from 1 species
GACGAACGCUGGCGGCGUGCUUAACACAUGCAAGUCGAACGAAGAGGCGAACGGGAGAGUAAUACGUGGGUAACCUGCCCUCCUUUUUGGGAUAAGCCUUGGAAACGGGGUCUAAUACCGAAUAAAGGGGGAUGGGCUCGCGGCCUAUCAGCUUGUUGGUGGGGUGAUGGCCUACCAAGGCGGUGACGGGUAGCCGGCCUGAGAGGGUGACCGGCAACAUGGGGACGGCGAUACGGCCCAGAGUCGUACGGGAAGGAGCAGUGGGGGAAAUUGCGCAAGGGUGGAAAGGCUGAUGCAGCUACGUGGCGUGGGGGAUGAAGGCUUUCGGGUUGUUAACCUCAGUCGAUAUCGAACGGGUAGGUAGAGAAGAAGCGCCGGCUAACUACGUGCCAGCAGCCGCGGUAAUAC